GUCAUCCGCCCAUGAGCUAGCGGUUGCAAGCCUCCUCCGAUUUUCUGAAGAAAAACUAAGCCAAAAGGAUCCGCAAGAGGUAAAUGAUGCAAGUAGGGUCGAUGGCGGAAGCAUAGAAGUCAGUCAACACCAGACAGCAGUCAGAAAAUUCUAGGAAUAAUGGACAAAAUUGUGAGUGGACAGGAUAAGAAAGAAACCAUGGGCAUUGGAGAAUGUGAGGUUCCAGUUCUGCCCCAACUCUUGUUCGUUAUAAAAGCCAGAGCUUGGUAGAAGGAUCGUCAUAUUUCAGGAGAACGAGGUGGAGCGGAUAAAAGGAAAAUGCUUCCAAAGACAUUCCUCCUACUCUUUCUGCUUCUCCUUUUCACUUCAUUCAUUCCAAACGGGACAACUGCUUGGGAGCUUGUUAAACCAACAACUGGUGGCCAGACGCCUGUGGAUGCCACGGACCGCAUCGGAUAUCGACCCCCGGUCCCAUAGCUGCAGAGUAAAAUCGUAGGUGUGCUACUAUACUAAUGGCUGCAGCGACUGCUACAUCCUCGCAUAAAUUGCCCUGAAAUGGGCAUAUGAACUAAAUAAGCGGCCGUAUCAAGAUGUCAUGUUCGCUUUGUUGUACGCGUACUGUGUACCUAAUGGUAAUUGGGAAUUUUAAAGCUGCCGCGUUGUUCUGUUGUUGCUGUUGUAUUGA